CAGUAAUCAAAGGAAUAGGGUAAGCAUUCCUGAUAGUAAUUUUGUUCAAUCCUCGAUAGUCUAUACAAGGACGUAAGGUACCGUCUUUCUUUUCUACAAAAAAGAAACCCGCCCCCGCCGGAGAAGACUUUCUAAUAAAUCCUUUGUCUAAAUUCUCCUUGAUGUAUUCCUCUAAAACUAAGUUUUCCUUGGUGGAUAGAGGGUAUACCGUACCCCUGGGAGGCAUAGUACCAGGGAAAAGUUUAAUAGAACAGUCAUAAGACCGGUGGGGAG